CGGACGGGUGAGUAACGCGUGGAUAACCUGCCGGAUAGACCGGGAUAACAGUUGGAAACGACUGCUAAUACCGGAUACGCUCCUAGGAACGCAUGUUCUAAGGAGGAAAGAUUUAUCGCUAACCGAUGGAUCCGCGUCCCAUUAGCUAGUUGGAGGUGUAACGGACCCCCAAGGCGACGAUGGGUAGCCGGCCUGAGAGGGCGAACGGCCACACUGGGACUGAGACACGGCCCAGACUCCUACGGGAGGCAGCAGUGGGGAAUCUUCCGCAAUGGGCGAAAGCCUGACGGAGCAACGCCGCGUGAGGGAAGAAGGCUUUCGGGUUGUAAACCUCUGUCUUAAGGGAAGAACAAAAUGACGGUACCUUGAGAGGAAGCCCCGGCUAACUACGUGCCAGCAGCCGCGGUAAAACGUAGGGGGCGAGCGUUGUCCGGAAUUACUGGGCGUAAAGGGCGCGUAGGUGGUGCAUUAAGUUAGAGGUGAAAGUGCGGGGCUUAACCCCGUGAGGCCUCUGAUACUGGUGGACUUGAGUGCAGGAGAGGGGAGCAGAAUUCCCAGUGUAGCGGUGAAAUGCGUAGAUAUUGGGAGGAAUACCAGUGGCGAAGGCGGCUCUCUGGGACUGUAACUGACACUGAGGCGCGAAAGCGUGGGGAGCGAACAGGAUUAGAUACCCUGGUAGUCCACGCCGUAAACGAUGAGUGCUAGGUGGUUGGGGG
rnacentral:rRNA from 2 species